rnacentral:rRNA from 1 species
AAAUAGAUACCCCGGUAGUCCACGCCGUAAACGAUGAGUGCUAAGUGUUAGAGGGUUUCCGCCCUUUAGUGCUGCAGCAAACGCAUUAAGCACUCCGCCUGGGGAGUACGGCCGCAAGGCUGAAACUCAAAGGAAUUGACGGGGGCCCGCACAAGCGGUGGAGCAUGUGGCUUAAUUCGAAGCAACGCGAAGAACCUUACCAGGUCUUGACAUCCUCUGACACUCCUAGAGAUAGGACGUUCCCCUUCGGGGGACAGAGUGACAGGUGGUGCAUGGUUGUCGUCAGCUCGUGUCGUGAGAUGUUGGGUUAAGUCCCGCAACGAGCGCAACCCUUGAUCUUAGUUGCCAGCAUUAAGUUGGGCACUCUAAGGUGACUGCCGGUGACAAACCGGAGGAAGGUGGGGAUGACGUCAAAUCAUCAUGCCCCUUAUGACCUGGGCUACACACGUGCUACAAUGGAUGGUACAAAGGGCAGCAAGACCGCGAGGUCGAGCAAAUCCCAUAAAGCCGCUCUCAGUUCGGAUUGCG